rnacentral:sRNA from 1 species
AUAUACAUACACAUACUUUAAUCUCUUGCUGUUUCGAGCGUUAUUGUGAGAAGAGAGUAGUGUUCUGUUUGGUUUCCUGAACAAAAGAACCUAACACAUACACUGUUUCUGCUCAUAGUAACACAGCAAGCUUGUUGCACAAUUAUAACAGCCAACUCAUGGCUCAGUAAGCUCUGACCCAACAAAGCAGCACGCUUGUGAUCCAGCAUUCAACACACAAACGUUAUUCUGCAAAACCAGCAUUUCAUUGCAAACUAGAUAGUGGCAAUGAACCCAGAAAAAAAUUCAAAUAUUGUUUCACUAAUCUGCUAUGUUAUCAAUGCUAUCAGCAAACUGUUAUAUCACUUAUGCAUUCUAUUCUUUAAACCGCUCAGUCAUUGCUUAAAUUAUUUGCAUGAUUCUGUUAGGUCGAUUGUCUUUAUAUUUACAUGUUUUUAAAUUUUGUGAACUUGGGAUUUAACUAGAAGUUUAGUUCAUCAAAUGACUUCACAUAAUAUUUACAAAGGGACGUUUCAGUUGUGGAUUUCACUUUUCCAUCACUAUUCUGAAAUAAAUAUUUAUCUGCAUUCCCGUACUCAUACAUAGCCGAUUUGAAAGUUUUGUCUUAUUCCAAUUUUUAAUCAAAUAUCAGGUAUACUCAAACAGGCUCCUAUUCCAAAUAUUUAUUAAAU